rnacentral:tRNA from 1 species
GUUCUUGUAGCUCAGUGGAUAGAGCAACUGUUUCCUAAGCAUAAAAUUAUAGGUUUGACCCCCUAUCUGGCGCG